rnacentral:rRNA from 1 species
UGCUGGAGGUAUCAGAAGUGCGAAUGCUGACAUAAGUAACGAUAAAGCGGGUGAAAAGCCCGCUCGCCGGAAGACCAAGGGUUCCUGUCCAACGUUAAUCGGGGCAGGGUGAGUCGACCCCUAAGGCGAGGCCGAAAGGCGUAGUCGAUGGGAAACGGGUUAAUAUUCCCGUACUUGGUGUUACUGCGAAGGGGGGACGGAGAAGGCUAUGUUGGCCGGGCGACGGUUGUCCCGGUUUAAGCGUGUAGGUGUGUGUUCCAGGUAAAUCCGGUUCACUUUAACACUGAGGCGUGACGACGAGGCACUACGGUGCUGAAGCAACAAAUGCCCUGCUUCCAGGAAAAGCCUCUAAGCAUCAGGUAACAUCAAAUCGUACCCCAAACCGACACAGGUGGUCAGGUAGAGAAUACCAAGGCGCUUGAGAGAACUCGGGUGAAGGAACUAGGCAAAAUGGUGCCGUAACUUCGGGAGAAGGCACGCUGACACGUAGGUGAAGUGAUUUACUCAUGGAGCUGAAGUCAGUCGAAGAUACCAGCUGGCUGCAACUGUUUAUUAAAAACACAGCACUGUGCAAACACGAAAGUGGACGUAUACGGUGUGACGCCUGCCCGGUGCCGGAAGGUUAAUUGAUGGGGUCAGCGCAAGCGAAGCUCCUGAUCGAAGCCCCGGUAAACGGCGGCCGUAACUAUAACGGUCCUAAGGUAGCGAAAUUCCUUGUCGGGUAAGUUCCGACCUGCACGAAUGGCGUAAUGAUGGCCAGGCUGUCUCCACCCGAGACUCAGUGAAAUUGAACUCGCUGUGAAGAUGCAGUGUACCCGCGGCAAGACGGAAAGACCCCGUGAACCUUUACUAUAGCUUGACACUGAACAUUGAGCCUUGAUGUGUAGGAUAGGUGGGAGGCUUUGAAGUGUGGACGCCAGUCUGCAUGGAGCCGACCUUGAAAUACCACCCUUUAAUGUUUGAUGUUCUAACGUGGACCCGUAAUCCGGGUUGCGGACAGUGUCUGGUGGGUAGUUUGACUGGGGCGGUCUCCUCCUAAAGAGUAACGGAGGAGCACGAAGGUUGGCUAAUCCUGGUCGGACAUCAGGAGGUUAGUGCAAUGGCAUAAGCCAGCUUGACUGCGAGCGUGACGGCGCGAGCAGGUGCGAAAGCAGGUCAUAGUGAUCCGGUGGUUCUGAAUGGAAGGGCCAUCGCUCAACGGAUAAAAGGUACUCCGGGGAUAACAGGCUGAUACCGCCCAAGAGUUCAUAUCGACGGCGGUGUUUGGCACCUCGAUGUCGGCUCAUCACAUCCUGGGGCUGAAGUAGGUCCCAAGGGUAUGGCUGUUCGCCAUUUAAAGUGGUACGCGAGCUGGGUUUAGAACGUCGUGAGACAGUUCGGUCCCUAUCUGCCGUGGGCGCUGGAGAACUGAGGGGGGCUGCUCCUAGUACGAGAGGACCGGAGUGGACGCAUCACUGGUGUUCGGGUUGUCAUGCCAAUGGCACUGCCCGGUAGCUAAAUGCGGAAGAGAUAAGUGCUGAAAGCAUCUAAGCACGAAACUUGCCCCGAGAUGAGUUCUCCCUGAGACUUAGAGUCUCCUGAAGGAACGUUGAAGACGACGACGUUGAUAGGCCGGGUGU